rnacentral:rRNA from 1 species
GUAGGGAAUAUUGGGCAAUGGUCGGAAGACUGACCCAGCCAUGCCGCGUGCAGGAAGACGGCCCUCUGGGUUGUAAACUGCUUUUAUCUGGGAAGAAAAAGGCCAUGCGUGGCAAAUUGCCGGUACCAGAUGAAUAAGCACCGGCUAACUCCGUGCCAGCAGCCGCGGUAAUACGGAGGGUGCGAGCGGUGUCCGGAUUUAUUGGGUUUAAAGGGUGCGUAGGCGGCUGAUUAAGUCAGCGGUGAAAGACUUCGGCUUAACCGGAGCAGUGCCGUUGAUACUGGUUGGCUUGAGUGUCGGAGGGGUACAUGGAAUUGAUGGUGUAGCGGUGAAAUGCAUAGAUACCAUCAGGAACACCGAUAGCGAAGGCAUUGUACUGGCCGACAACUGACGCUGAUGCACGAAAGUGUGGGGAUCGAACAGGAUUAGAAACCCGGGUAGUCC